rnacentral:rRNA from 1 species
CCUACGGGCGGCAGCAGUGGGGAAUAUUGCACAAUGGGGGAAACCCUGAUGCAGCGACGCCGCGUGAGUGAUGAAGUAUUUAGGUAUGUAAAGCCCUAUUAGCAGGGAAGAUAAUGACGGUACCUGACUAAUAAGCCCCGGCUAACUCCGUGCCAGCAGCCGCGGUAAUACGUAGGGGGCAAGCGUUACCCGGAUUGACUGGGCGUAAAGGGAGCGUAGGCGGGAGUGUAAGUCAGGAGUGAAAUCCCGUGGCUUAACACCGGAACUGCUUUGGAAACUGUGCGGCUGGAGUGCAGGAGAGGUAGGUGGAAUUCGUGGUGUAGGGGUAAAAUGCGUAGAUAUCAAGAGGAACACUGAUUGCGAAGGCGACUUACUGGACUAUGACUGACGUUGAGGCUCGAAAGCGUGGGGAGCAAACAGGAUUAGAUACCCUUGUAGUC